rnacentral:tRNA from 1 species
GAGGGUACAGAUCCAGUGGUAGAGUGUGUGCUUAGCAUGCACAAGGUCCUGGGUUCAAUCCCCAGUACCUCCU